CCUACGGGUGGCAGCAGUGGGGAAUAUUGCGCAAUGGGGGCAACCCUGACGCAGCAACGCCGCGUGAUUGAAGAAGGCCUUCGGGUUGUAAAGAUCUUUAAUUCGGGACGAAAACAAUGACGGGACCCAAAGAAUAAGCUCCGGCUAACUACGUGCCAGCAGCGGCGGCAAUACGUCGGGAGCAAGCGUUAUCCGGAUUUACUCGGUGUAAAGGGUUGGUAGGGGGGCUGGCAAGUUGGGAGGGAAAUCCCGGGGCUUAACCCCGGAACUGCGUUCAAAACUGCUGGUCUUGAGUGAUGGAGAGGCAGGCGGAAUGCCGUGUGUAGCGGUGAAAUGCGUAGAUAUACGGAGGAACACCAGUGGCGAAGGCAGCCUGCUGGACAUUAACUGACGCUGAGGAGCGAAAGCGUGGGGAGCAAACAGGAUUAGAUACCCCUGUAGUC
rnacentral:rRNA from 1 species